UGGUGGGGUAAUUGAUGUCAUGGAAAUUCCCUGUCAAUAAUAUGAUUUUAGGUAUAAAUUAUGCUACAUUGUAACAUUCAAAGAGACGCUAGCAUAAUGAAGAUUUCGAUUAUCCUUACUGCAACAAUUCUUGUUUGUGUGGCAAAUCAAGGUAAAAACAAUUUCAGCUACAGUUUUGUUUUUCAAACUAUCUUUUAAGACGAUUGAACAGCGGUAUACUACAUUGUACUGUUCCCUUUAUCUGUCAGAUCCCGUUCAAUACGUCAUAUUCUUAACAAUUUGUAAAAUAAACUACUGUUACAAUUUGAAAUCAAUUCAAUAACAUGUAAUGCAAAGGCGUGUAUCUUAAGGAAUAUUUCAGAUAUCAAGAUUAUCAUCAUCAUCAUUAUUAUUAUUAGUACCUUUAUAUUUAUCAUUAUUAUUAUCUUAUUCAUUAUCAUUAUUAUUAUCAUUAAUAAUUUCUGAUUUUAUUAUUAGUUUUAGCAUGGUGGGGAGGUGGUAGUAGUAGCAGUUCGUCACGUACCAGCAGCGGUAGUGGUUCCAGUCGGUCAGG
rnacentral:lncRNA from 1 species